GACGAACGCUGGCGGCGUGCCUAAUACAUGCAAGUUGAGCGCUGAAGGCUGGUACUUGUACCAACUGGAUGAGCAGCGAACGGGUGAGUAACGCGUGGGGAAUCUGCCUUUGAGCGGGGGACAACAUUUGGAAACGAAUGCUAAUACCGCAUAAAAACUUUAAACACAAGUUUUAAGUUUGAAAGAUGCAAUUGCAUCACUCAAAGAUGAUCCCGCGUUGUAUUAGGUAGUUGGUGGGGUAAAGGCUCACCAAGGCGAUGAUACAUAGCCGACCUGAGAGGGUGGUCGGCCACAUUGGGACUGGGACACGGCCCAAGCUCCUACGGGAGGCAGCAGUAGGGAAUCUUCGGCAAUGGACGAAAGUCUGACCGAGCAACGCCGCGUGAGUGAAGAAGGUUUUCGGAUCGUAAAACUCUGUUGGUAGAGAAGAACGUUGGUGAGAGUGGAAAGCUCAUCAGGUGACGGUAACUACCCAGAAAGGGACGGCUAACUACGUG
rnacentral:rRNA from 1 species